GUGUCGUGGCCGAGUGGUUUAAGGCGCUUGACAGAAGAUGUGAAGGUCGAGGGUUCGAAUCCCUACACGACACU
rnacentral:tRNA from 1 species